rnacentral:rRNA from 1 species
CCUACGGGGGGCUGCAGUGGGGAAUAUUGGACAAUGGGGGCAACCCUGAUCCAGCCAUGCCGCGUGUGUGAAGAAGGCCCUCGGGUUGUAAAGCACUUUCAGUGAGGAAGAACGCCUGGUGGUUAAUACCCACCAGGAAAGACAUCACUCACAGAAGAAGCACCGGCUAACUCCGUGCCAGCAGCCGCGGUAAUACGGAGGGUGCGAGCGUUAAUCGGAAUUACUGGGCGUAAAGCGCGCGUAGGUGGCUUGAUAAGCCGGUUGUGAAAGCCCCGGGCUCAACCUGGGAACGGCAUCCGGAACUGUCAAGCUAGAGUGCAGGAGAGGAAGGUAGAAUUCCCGGUGUAGCGGUGAAAUGCGUAGAGAUCGGGAGGAAUACCAGUGGCGAAGGCGGCCUUCUGGACUGACACUGACACUGAGGUGCGAAAGCGUGGGUAGCAAACAGGAUUAGAUACCCUAGUAGUC